UACGAAGGUGGCAAGCGUUAUUCGGAUUUACUGGGCGUACAGGGAGCGUAGGCGGUUCGGUAAGCCGUCUGUGAAAUCUUCAGGCUUAACCUGGAAAAGUCGGGGGGGACUGCUGGGCUAGAGGACGGGAGAGGAGCGCGGAAUUCCCGGUGUAGCGGUGAAAUGCGUAGAUAUCGGGAGGGACACCUGUGGCGAAAGCGGCGCUCUGGACCACAUCUGACGCUGAGGCGCGAAAGCUAGGGGAGCAAACAGG
rnacentral:rRNA from 1 species